rnacentral:lncRNA from 14 species
GCUCAGUUUAAUUUUAUUAGCUGCUGCUGAUUUGUUCCUAUUCAGUGCAUCCAUGGAUUUGUUUAGUGUGAUGUGGAGGGGUGUGGGUCAGAGACAGACACAUACUCGAUGGUCCUUGCGACAAAUAGCCCUGAGUUUAUUCCCACAGCUCCUUUUAUAGGAACUCAAAUUUCCCUAGCCUACACAUGGGAUUCGUUUAGGUCUUAGCACCAUGCAGAUCUCUGGCCAAUGAUACAUCUGCAUUUAGGGCAGAUGACACUGAAUGACACUGGCUGGGGGCCUCUGUGUAGAUUUGAAUCCAACCUAUCCUUGCCCACCCAGGGACUGUAAUGCUACAGUUUAGUAUCAAUAAUCAAGGGUAGAAAUUCUUGAAUAAAAAGCUAGGUGGAAAUUCUGAGUUUCUGGAGGACUCCAGGAUUUGUUUUGCUCUUUGUUUCCCUGUUCUAGGAGGUGUGAAGUACACUUGUCCUUUCAUAACUGGAACUAUUCAAGAUUAACAGGCCUGAAAGGGCACUAUAAGUUUCUCUUGCUGUCUGGUGUAGUAAAGAUCUUAUUCUUCUAGCAAACAUUUUGAAUGAAAGCUUUUGUUACAAGGAGAGGUGGAGUAGGCUGAAUCAAGCCUCUGUCAAGUGCCACUGCUGAAAUACUGAAUUAACAUACCCAAGACCAGCACAUCAGGAGGAUAGCCUUCUACCAAGAAUAGUGUGGAGGUUUGAUCAUCUCCUUAGUGCAAGCCCUGCACCUUCACCUAGAUUCCUUCGCAGGCAACUACAGUGGAUCUGCUCACCAAGGGAAUUUGUCCCACUGGAUUCCUUUUUUUUUUUUUUUUUCUGUGCAGUUGAAUGAAAAGUAUGUGCCUUCUGAAGAACAGCAACUGAAAGAAAUAUUGAUGACUGCCAGGGCAUCUACAGAAAAAGAUAAGAAAAUUACUCUACUACAACAGUGAAAACAAAGGGGCUUUGUUAACACUUUCUUGUAGGUUGUAUAUAUUAAUAGUAACAAGUAAAGUUUUGUAUUUUUUCAGAGAAACACACAAGGCCUUGAAUUGUAUUGUUUUAAUUGCAACUAACUGAAUGAAUUAAGUGGAAAAUUGCACACAGUACUUUGAUUGUCUAAUUCUCUGUAUGUGAGGCUUUGGGAACAGUUUGUUAUUAUAAAAGAACAGCACUAACCAGAAAUCAGCCAACAUGUAAUUGCUAGGCUGAGGGGCAGUUUGGGGAAAGCUGAUACUUAUUUAUACAUUAUUAAAUAAAAGCACAUAAUAUGAGGAUCAUCUCUCACUGCCUCCACACUUCAUACAU